rnacentral:tRNA from 1 species
GCCCGAGUGGGGUAAUCUGGAUAUCCUAGGGGCCUGCGGAGCCUCAGAUUCGGGUUCAAAUCCCGGCUCGGGCG